rnacentral:misc_RNA from 1 species
AAUUUGUAACUGGAAUUAGCUUAAUGAGAAUCAGCUUCCUGCACGUGUUUCGCAAGAGCUGAUUGUGCAAGUUAUGGAAAGUAUUGAUUUGCUGAUCGGAUCGAUUUUUUUUUGCCCUUUGAUGCAUACAAGUUAAACAUAAUCUGCCAAAAGAGAAGGCUUGCUCAAAUCUAUUUUGCAGGUGAAACACCGUUGUAUUGCCAUUGUAAGUAAAAAAGAAUUCCUUCACCAGGAGUUAUGUACACCGCCAUUUUUGGUGAUUGCCUUGUUG